CAGUAGUAGCAGUACUAGUAUUAGUAGCAACACUAGCAGUAACAGUAGUAGUAGUAGCAGUAGCAGUUUGUGUCGUCUCUGGGUUUUUUGCAUUACACGCGGUGUUUGUAGCUUCUACGCUCGCUCCUGUGUGGUGCAGUCGUGGGAUCGUACGCCUGCUGUGUGCUGGAGCAUCAGACGAUCGAGCGAUCCCGACGCACAUAGACCACGGUCUCGACGCACGCUCGAGUAUCUGUACUCUCUCUUGCACAACAGUAGCUGAAGUGCGUCCUCGUGCGUGGGGGGGGGUGGUUGUCCAGCCAUGGAAGGGGGAGAUCCUACCAUGGAAGGGGGAGAUCCUACCAUAGAAGGGCGAGGUCCUGCCAGGGAAGGUGGAGGUUCUGCCAGGGAAGGAGGAGGUUCUGCCAUGGAAGGAGGAGGUCCUGCCAGGGAAGGGGGAGGUCCUGCCAUGGAAGGGGAGGUCCUGCCAGGGAAGGGGGAGGUCCUGUCAUGGAAGGGGGAGGUCCUGCCAUGGAAGGGGGAGGUCCUGCCAUGGAAGGAGGAGGUCUUGCCAGGAAAGGAGGAGGUCCUGUCAUGCCAUGACAGUGGGAGAUCCUACCAUAGAAGGGGGAGGUCCUGCCAGGGAAGGGGGAGGUCCUGCCAGGGAACGUGGUAGGUUCUGCCAUGAAAGAGGAGGAAGCUAUCAUGGAAGGGAAGGUUGUCGCUCCCUCCCCCCAUCACGUUUAGGGUUGCACUUCACUGACAUCCUGUGUUAACUAUGCUGCGGCUAACAGCUGCAGCUCACCCGUCAAACUCACGGCCAACUCGAAACCGAUGUCCGAAUUACCGCGGCGUAUAUUUUUCAGACUCCGAAUAUUUUUCCAUUCGCUUCGAACAUUCCUCCGCCGCGCGGCGCUCGCCUCGCCCUUCUCCGUGCGUUUCCACGGCAACAGCCGACUCGGUCGGCUCGCAGCCUCGCUUUUUUUGUUCGUCGAGGACAGUUUUGAGUCCAUCCUCUGAUCUCAUUGGUCAUCGCCGCGCGGGCGAUGGCGCGGCGCCCGCAAAAGGCGAUUGUGUGCUUCAGCACUUGUGAUUUUACGCGCGGAUUUGCGUCGUGGUGAUAUUUUGCCUCGGAAAGCUCUCGCGCUGAGAGGUUGUGUGCUUUUUCGUGUCUUCAUCUUCAUGCCAGGAGUAUUUUACCAAGAGUAUGCUUAAUAGAGCGUAUUAAGUAUGCUUAAUACGCUGUUGGUUAUAGAUAUAGAUAUGUCUUUACUAUAAUCGGAAUAGUUUGUUGCUGGUUGCCGUGCGAACGCUGCAAUGUAGGGUGCUGCAAUGUAGAGUGCUGCAAUGUAGGCUUCAGUGAGGAAUGGCGCAGUAACCAUUCAAGAAGGAGCCAAGAAGGUAUGCAGAGAGAGAGGUGGGAACCGAGAGAGAGAGAGAGAGAGAGGGAGAAAGAGAGAGUGAGUGAGAAAGAGAGAGA